GAUGAACGCUGGCGGCGUGCCUAAUACAUGCAAGUCGAGCGAACGGACGAGAAGCUUGCUUCUCUGAUGUUAGCGGCGGACGGGUGAGUAACACGUGGAUAACCUACCUAUAAGACUGGGAUAACUUCGGGAAACCGGAGCUAAUACCGGAUAAUAUUUUGAACCGCAUGGUUCAAAAGUAAAAGACGGUCUUGCUGUCACUUAUAGAUGGAUCCGCGCUGCAUUAGCUAGUUGGUAAGGUAACGGCUUACCAAGGCAACGAUGCAUAGCCGACCUGAGAGGGUGAUCGGCCACACUGGAACUGAGACACGGUCCAGACUCCUACGGGAGGCAGCAGUAGGGAAUCUUCGGCAAUGGGCGAAAGCCUGACGGAGCAACGCCGCGUGAGUGAUGAAAGUCUUCGGAGCGUAAAACUCUGUUAUUAGGGAAGAACAUAUGUGUAAGUAACUGUGCACAUCUUGACGGUACCUAAUCAGAAAGCCACGGCUAACUACGUG
rnacentral:rRNA from 1 species